UAAAAUAAAAUAAAAUAAAAUAAAAGUUGUAUCAAAAUCUGCUGCACCAUGGGAGUGUUUUACACAUGUGAUGUGGCAUCUACCUUAUGUACCAUAAUGGAAAAAUGUUUGAGAACCACUGCACUAGGCCAAAGGCUGGGAUGUGUAUACUUUGCUGCCGUGUAUAAUUGUAUGUCCUUGUUCUCUAAACGGAAUUGGUUAUGUUUAGUGAACAGUUAGGUGGUUCUCCAUGUGUUUAUAUACACAGACGAUCCCCGAAUUUGGAUGGUUCAACUUAAGAGUUUUCAAACUUACGAUGAUAUGAAAGUGAUAUACAUUUGAUACAUUCCUACAACUUACAAUGGGGUUAUGUCCCAUAAUUGUUUUGACUUAUGAUAUUUUCAACUUACAAUUGAUGGGUUUACUGAGACAUAACCCUCUUGUAACUUGAGGAGCAUGUGUAUAUUUGUACAUACAUGAUGGUGUGUGUUUAUACACAAAGGCCUGAAUAUACACACCAUGAGCAUUUGAAGGUCUUUGUCAAGGUUGUUUCUGUUUCUGAUCUCUUGCCUACUUUAAAACCCAAGAGGUAGAACAUUAUGCAUAUUACAGGCAAAACUAUGCUUGAGUUUAUAGCAAUGUAGUUUGUAGAAAGGAUUCCUGGAUGUUUUACUAAGCCUUUCCUCCUCCAUUCAACAUUAUAUGAAUUGUUAAGAACAUAUAAAGUACCACUGUUGAAUGUGACUUUUCUAUACUGUUAGUUAAGAAACCAAGACUAGUGUUAGCUGAGUAACUGGCAUGUUGAUGCAACCUAUACAGGUUUUGUAUUUAAUUAGGUUCCUUAUUCAGUUAUUCAAGUAUCCAGUUAUUUAGUUUCAAGGUAGAUUUCUUUGUUUUUAUAUUUAAUAAAAGACUUGCAUAUAAGUUCCUCUUCAUGAAAAUAGUGGCUAGGCUAGUGUGAUUUUAAGUAUGUCUGGCAACUCAAAAUGUAAUGGAUUCAUCAAGCUAUUUGGGAUUUUUAACAUAAAACACACUGCUGCUUGAUUAAUGUGUUCAGUUUUCCCCUGGAUAUUUGCUAUUAGGCUGAUAGCCAUUUGGUUGGAUUCUUCUGGAGAGUAAUUGAUUCUCUAAGGUAAUGGGGUGCUGCAGUGGGUGUAGCAUUCACCCAGGUCACUAGAAUCCUACCUGUUUCAUCACAUAGAAGGCCCUGGCCAUGGGGAAGAGUGAAUGCAGCUUCUCCGGAUGCCUUAUUUCCACAGACAUGCUGAUAUGCUGGAACAAUCUGGCUCCAGGAGUAUUAAUAUACUUUUUUGAGACUGUCUACAAAAUACUAUUUUGUAAAAACUAUGCCUUUACAUAGACAUUGAUAGGUUAUAUUUGUUUUAUAACAAUUGUGUACCUAAUGUUUGUGAUUAAUUUUGAGAUUUAUGUAUAUUUAUAAGCCUAUCUUAUGUAAAUUUUUACUCUAAGAUGUGUGGCACAUUACUAAUAAAGACGUGGAUUUCUAUUUAUGUAAAGUAAUUGUAGCAAUAUUCCUAGAUGCUACCUAAAUGAUUGUUCUGUCCAUUUGCCAUCACAAAUACUUUUAUCUUUGGAUGAUUAUGUUAGUCAGAAUAUAUUAAUUAGAUUUAAACUUUAAAAUAAGAAUUACAACAUAGUUUGAAAUUCUUCCUGUUGAUGUAAUUAAAGUUAGUUUAUAAUUCCUU
rnacentral:lncRNA from 1 species